rnacentral:rRNA from 1 species
UACGGAGGGUGCGAGCGUUGUCCGGAAUCACUGGGCGUAAAGGGCGCGUAGGCGGCGCGGGGGAGUCAACGGUGAAAGUUCGGGGGCUCAACCCUGAAUCGACCGUCGAUACUCCUGGGCUCGAGCACUGUAGAGGCAGAUGGAAUUCCGGGUGUAGCGGUGGAAUGCGUAGAGAUCCGGAAGAACACCGGUGGCGAAGGCGGUCUGCUGGGCAGUUGCUGGACACUGAGGCGCGACAGCGUGGGGAGCAAACAGGG